rnacentral:rRNA from 1 species
GGAGACGGCACACUACAGAGGAGGAAGGCGAUUAACUGCCUUGCAACAGGCUGCCGUAGAGGGUGAGAGCCCCGUGAAUCGCUGGAGACCGAUCAUUUAGUGCCCGCCGAAGAGUCUAGUUGUUUGAUUAUGCAGCUCUUCCUGGUUGGUAUCUUUUCCUCCACUAUUGAUAUACAGAGAGACCGAUAGCAAACAAGUACAGUGAUGGAAAGAUGAAAAGAACUUUGGAAAGAGAGUGAAAUAGUACGUGAAAUUGUUGAAAGGGAAGGGUAUUUGAUCCGACAUGGUGUUUAGCAGCGGCCCGUUCCUUUUUGGGAUGGGUGCACCUGGUUUACACUGGGCCAGCAUCAGUUCCUGGGGCUGGAGAAGAAGGGAGUGAAUGUGGCCCCACGAUUCUGUCAUGGGGUGUUAUAGCACUUUCUUUAAUACGGCC